GGAGCUUUGCGUGGACAAUGGCUAAACCUGAUUUGGAGGUAUCUGGUGCCCGAAUUCACAGCCAAGGAGACCUAACAGUCAUGAUUCAAUAAGCUUACCAGUCCAAAGUACACACCAGACAGAAAGGAGACAUCUUAUCUGUGUAAUCUACAGAUACUGCUUGAAAAAUCACACGUAAUUAAGCCCUUCUUCCAGUGGGAGCUCCUUGAAGCUUUAUCACCAGCUUGUCAGAUGUCAUCUCUGGGUUUCAUUGAUGGCUCUGAGAGUGAACAUUUCCAAACCAGAGGCACCUGAUAAUCCAGGUGACAUGUUUACCACGCCUAGUCUAGUCAGCUAAUAAAAGCAGCUCUGCACUCCACAACUGAAGGAAAACAGAAUGGUGGAGAGAAACAGAGAGAGAUUUGCAGGGUGGCUUCCCACACCGGCUGUUCUGUUACGUUAAUCCUGUUGCAAGAUAUAAGAUGUGACGGUCAUCCGGAUAUCUGUGUGCCUCCUUGGUCCUCGGGUGGCCCUGUCUGUACACAGGCAUGCAUUUCCCUUGAGCAACAUCAGAUGAGAAAGUGAGUUCGUUUCCACUGCAGGGGAGUCAAAACAGAAAACCCAGAGGCGGCGACUUGCGUGGAGGCCUCCCAGGUCCUGGAUGGUGUGUGUGUGAUGCAGGAAAUACUCCCCUCCCACUCCUGCUUUGGAUGGGACAUACUUCCCUGCCCCACUGAGUCCGGGCUCGGUCAUGUGACUUUGUUGGCUAAUAGGCUGUCAGCCUGCAGGGCGCAAGCAAAGCCUUGAAAGGCGUUCGCACCGUGGGUCUCCCCUUUUUUCGGGUCCCACGUUGCCCUGGGAAGCAUAUGCCUGUUCAUCUGAGGAGGAUGAGAGACACCUAGAGCAGACCUGGCUGCAACCCACACCUUGAAGCCCAGCCCAGCCUAGAUCAUCUGAAAACCAGCCAAGUUGCAGAUGCUUUUAGAGCCCUCAAAUUGUAAAAUCUUCAAGGCCUACUGACCUGGAACGAGCUCUGAUUAAGCACCUAUCAGAUGAGCCAGACAUAUCUGGAUGCUAGAAAUACAGCCCUGAAUGAAACAGACACUUGGUGACCUUAACACAUGUCCGCAUGCUGACACGCCUUUGAAAGGCAGAGUCCUCUCCCUUUGAGUUCAGGCUGGACCUCGGGACUUGUUUCUAAGGAGCAGAAACCCAUGCAGAUGACACUGGGCAACAUCCAAGACUAGCCCUAAGAUACGCUGCAGUUUCUUCCUUGCUCUUUCCCUCUGGAAAGCAUCAGCAUCAUGGAAAAGUCCACAUGGGGAGGAACUGAGGCCUCCAGCCGACAGCCAUGUGAGCAUGCAUCUUAGACGCAGGUCCUCCAACGCCAGUCAAGCCUGCAGAUGUUGGCAGCCUCGACCAACAUCUUAACUGUAUCGUGACUGCUUACAAGAGACCUUGAGCCAGAACCAUCCAUCCAGACUGUUCUCAGUGACUCCUGACCUCAAAGUGUGGGAGAUAAGAAGUGUCUGUUCUUUUCAGCUGCUAAGUUUUGGGGUUGUUUGUUACAUAGCAAGAGAUAAAUGCACCAACAAGAGUCCUGGCUUCAUGAUUCACAUUCUGAUGUUUGUUUGGCAUCAAGCUAGAACAAUAAAUGAGAAAGAAAAACCCUCCCCUCAUGGGGCUUCCAGUCUGGUAGAAAACCAGGUUUCUGCUCUGUCGCUGAUGC